AAUUGACGGGGCCCGCACAAGCGGUGGAGUAUGUGGUUUAAUUCGAUGCAACGCGAAGAACCUUACCUGGGUUGGAAACCCCUGGAAUCCUGCAGAGAUGUGGGAGUGCUCUUUUAGAGAAUCAGGUGUCCAGGUGCUGCAUGGUUGUCGUCAGCUCGUGUCGUGAGAUGUUGGGUUAAGUCCCGCAACGAGCGCAACCCCCGCCGUUAGUUGCCAGCGGUUCGGCCGGGCACUCUAACGGGACUGCCCGCGAAAGCGGGAGGAAGGAGGGGACGACGUCUGGUCAGCAUGGCCCUUACGGCCUGGGCGACACACGUGCUACAAUGCCCACUACAAAGCGAGGCCACCCGGCAACGGGGAGCUAAUCGCAAAAAGGUGGGCCCAGUUCGGAUUGGGGUCUGCAACCCGACCCCAUGAAGCCGGAAUCGCUAGUAAUCGCGGAUCAGCCAUGCCGCGGUGAAUACGUUCCCGGGCCUU
rnacentral:rRNA from 1 species